AUCACUGUUCUGGGAGAUCAAAAGAACAUACACAUUCAUAUAUGUGAAAACUACAAUAAAUCAAAUUACUGAGGGCUAUGGAUUGAGCUUUCUAGCACUUGAACCACUUCCGAUUUUGCAAGUUUGCAAAAACUGAUUUUAGUGGCUGAUUUGACUACUAGGAGUGAUAGGGGUUUUUGUGUGUUUUUUUUUUUUUUUUACUUAAAUGAUAAUAUCAGAAAUUAAAACAUGCUUUUAAAUCAAACCUGAUUUUAAGAUGCAACUUGUGGUUUCUCAGGUUGUGAGUCAGAAGCGACAAAUGUUUUAAAAUAUAAAAUACUUAAAAUAGUCAACAUUUAGUGAUGAAUUCAAGUACUCCUUAAAGAUUUUUGUCUGAAUAAGUGCAUUGUGUGUAACAAGCAUUUUUAAAAUAUUACACAACUGAAAAUAGAUCACAACCCUUUUGCAAAAGGAUUUCGGGAUAAUUAUGACACGAUCUACACCGGCUGUGACAUGGACCGCCUGACCCCCUCGCCCAACGACUCGCCGCGCUCGCAGAUCGUGCCCGGGGCCCGCUACGC
rnacentral:sRNA from 1 species